rnacentral:rRNA from 1 species
GAUGAACGCUAGCGGCAGGCUUAAUACAUGCAAGUCGAACGGUAAGGUCUCUUCGGAGAUACACGAGUGGCGCACGGGUGCGUAACGCGUAUGCAACCUACCUUUAACUGGGAAAUAGCCCCGAGAAAUCGGGAUUAAUGUCCCAUAUUAUUCUCUGAUAGCAUUAUCGGGGAAUGAAAGCUCCGGCGGUUAUUGAUGGGCAUGCGUGACAUUAGCUAGUUAGCGAGGUAACGGCUCACCAAGGCAACGAUGUCUAGGGGGUCCUGAGAGGGUUAACCCCCACACCGGUACUGAGACACGGACCAGACUCCUACGGGAGGCAGCAGUAAGGAAUAUUGGGCAAUGGACGCAAGUCUGACCCAGCCAUGCCGCGUGAAGGAUGACUGUCCUAUGGAUUGUAAACUUCUUUUAUGCAGGAAAAACAGCCUGGUCGAGCACCGGGUUUGAUGGUACUGUAUGAAUAAGCAUCGGCUAACUCCGUGCCAGCCGCCGCCGUAAUAC